CCGCCCGCUGCCGCCGGGUCGUUACGACGCGGCGCUGCCAGCUUUACGGCAGCACGCAGCGACCGGCCGGUGCCGGCACCGCGGAGGGCAGAGCGGGCGAUGCGGCGGCAGGUGAAUGCCACCCGUCGACGUCCAGUCUAACGCCGUUUUGACGGACCGAGCUCAGGGGUUUCCCGUCGUUACUUCUGGGGGACUCCCGGUGGCACCUCUCCUCCUCAGGCCUUCAGCGCUCGAAACGGGGCAGAUGAAUAUCCCUCCGAGAAGCUGAGGAUUACAGAGAGUUUACACAAAUUCCAACUACUAAUAUGCAAAUAAAAUGAAUGAGCAAGACUCUUGUUGGCAACCCACGACAAAUGUUCCAGGCCUGCGUCAGUAUUUAUUCCUAUCUUUAUGAAAACUUCUGAACAGAGUGUGCCUGAGCCUUCAGGAAGCAAAUCCUGGCUGCGUCUGAGCAGAGCUGCUUGCGAUCUGCGACUGCAUUUCAACACCCCUUAACGUCAAAGGUGCUCAGAUCCACACCCCGGCUUCUCUGCGGAUUCAUCUUUAGCUUUAACGGGGAGGUUCUCCCGAACGAAACCAUCUCUCUGAUGGCUUUUCACAGCUCCACUACGCUUUUUCGGUCCUCGCCGCUUACCUUAAGUGGCUCUGAAAGGCGUCCGAGCCUACAAAGGGUUUUCCUUUAAGCUGUGCGCUGCACACAGUGAGUCAUCCUUGCAGAACUCACAAGGAGUUUCACAAAUACCAGAUGGCAAUAAUAUUAAAAGUAGUAGCUAGUGGCAAUUAAGCAUUUGCUAUAACCGUUCUCCCUUCCUGACUGUAGGAAGCUGCCAAAUGUCUUUUUUUUUUUUUCCCCUUGACUGAAAAAAAAACCCAAACGAUGUUUCUGCAGAGUGGAAAAUUAACAGAAUACAGGACGCAUGCUUCCUUCCCUAGCCCGUAAUCCCAUUUGGACUUGAGUGGAAAGCUAUUUGCUGUAUUUUGUACAUCUGUAGGAGAAGAUGAAGCAGAAAAACACGCAGUAAAGGAAAAUUUGGGGCAUUGUAUGGGCACAUGCAAAAAGUGUUUCAGCAGUGACCCUGUUAAAACCGCAGACUGGUCACUUCUAGGCUCGCAGGAUGUCCAGCUCUUUAAACAAGACUAUAUUCAGGCAUGCUAUGGAGUUGCUGGGACUUAGUUUGGAUUUUUUGUUUUGUUCUUAUACUGCAGGCUGUUGCAAAGGAUUUGCUCCACAAACUUGGAAAUAGUUUGAGUUAAUUAACGUAGGAAGUGUGUCCAAAUACCAUUGUGUUUGGCUCAGUAUAAAUAACAGUGACUGCUCCCCUUCCUUUUCAGUGACUCUUGCUGCUUGGCAUCUCUUGGAUCCAUCAGCGAUACAUAAAUAGUUAUUAGCUUUUUCAAGCCCCAGGUACACAACCUCGGCCCUUCCUUCCGACGUAUUACACAUGCAGCAUGCUUCAUCCAUUCUGUUACUUACAAGUCACAUGCGAUGUGACCUUGCCAAGAUUUUUUAGAGAUAAAUCUCUCUUAAUUUAUGCAUGCCUGGCCAGGAA
rnacentral:lncRNA from 1 species